AUCAUGCAGAUAGCUCAGAAGAAGAAGUAAGUUUUUUUUUUAAUUACAAAAGUAAAUAUAUAAUAUAAUAUUUGUUGCUGCCUUGUUCUAUAUAAAUGUUUCUAACAUGCAGGUAACAUUUAUAUAUGUAUUAGUUUGAAUAAAUCAUUUUAAUAAAGUUACAUUAUAGGCAGGAAUGUUUGACUGGAAAUAUAAACGAUGUUGUACAUAAUGCAGAUAGCUUAGGCAAAAAAGAGAUUGGUGAAAUGGAGAAUGAGACUAACUAGGGUGAAAAAAAUGAAUAUUAAUAUGUGAAUGGUACUUUGUUUAACAUCUACCUGUUUCUACAGAUACAGUACAGACGCAUUUAUAAAUGGGCUUGAUGUUUUUUUGAAUUAAAUAUGUUGUAUUGA
rnacentral:lncRNA from 1 species